rnacentral:rRNA from 1 species
UUAGUGGCGAACGGGUGAGUAACGCGUAAGCAAUCUGCCCCUAAGACGAGGAUAACCGUUGGAAACGACUGCUAAGACUGGAUAGGAGACAAGAAGGCAUCUUCUUGUUUUUAAAAGACCUAGCAAUAGGUAUGCUUAGGGAGGAGCUUGCGUCACAUUAGUUAGUUGGUGGGGUAAAGGCCUACCAAGACUAUGAUGUGUAGCCGGGCUGAGAGGUUGAACGGCCACAUUGGGACUGAGACACGGCCCAAACUCCUACGGGAGGCAGCAGUAGGGAAUUUUCGGCAAUGGAGGAAACUCUGACCGAGCAACGCCGCGUGAACGAUGAAGUAUUUCGGUACGUAAAGUUCUUUUAUUAGGGAAGAAUAAAUGAUGGAAAAAUCAUUCUGACGGUACCUAAUGAAUAAGCCCCGGCUAACUAUGUGCCAGCAGCCGCGGUAAUACAUAGGGGGCAAGCGUUAUCCGGAAUUAUUGGGCGUAAAGGGUGCGUAGGCGGUUAAAUAAGUUUAUGGUCUAAGUGCAAUGCUCAACAUUGUGAUGCUAUAAAAACUGUUUAGCUAGAGUAAGAUAGAGGCAAGUGGAAUUCCAUGUGUAGUGGUAAAAUGCGUAAAUAUAUGGAGGAACACCAGUAGCGAAGGCGGCUUGCUGGGUCUUUACUGACGCUGAGGCACGAAAGCGUGGGGAGCAAACAGGAUUAGAUACCCUGGUAGUCCACGCCGUAAACGAUGAGUACUAAACGUUGGGUAAAACCAGUGUUGAAGUUAACACAUUAAGUACUCCGCCUGAGUAGUACGUACGCAAGUAUGAAACUUAAAGGAAUUGACGGGACUCCGCACAAGCGGUGGAUCAUGUUGUUUAAUUCGAAGGUACCCGAAAAACCUCACCAGGUCUUGACAUGCUUCUGCAAAGCUGUAAAAACACAGUGGAGGUUAUCAGUUGCACAGGUGGUGCAUGGUUGUCGUCAGCUCGUGUCGUGAGAUGUUGGGUUAAGUCCCGCAACGAGCGCAACCCUUAUUGUUAGUUACCAGCACGUAAUGGUGGGGACUUUAGCAAGACUGCCAGUGAUAAAUUGGAGGAAGGUGGGGACGACGUCAAAUCAUCAUGCCCCUUAUGACCUGGGCUACAAACGUGAUACAAUGGCUGUUACAAAGGGUAGCUGAAGCGCAAGUUUUUGGCGAAUCUCAAAAAAACAGUCUCAGUUCGGAUUGAAGUCUGCAACUCGACUUCAUGAAGUUGGAAU